CCUACGGGUGGCAGCAGUCGAGAAUCAUUCACAAUGGGGGAAACCCUGAUGGGGCGACGCCGCGUGGGGGAAUGAAGGUCUUCGGAUUGUAAACCCCUGUCAUGUGGGAGCAAAUUAAAAAGAUAGUACCACAAGAGGAAGAGACGGCUAACUCUGUGCCAGCAGCCGCGGUAAUACAGAGGUCUCAAGCGUUGUUCGGAAUCACUGGGCGUAAAGCGUGCGUAGGCUGUUUCGUAAGUCGUGUGUGAAAGGCGCGGGCUCAACCCGCGGACGGCACAUGAUACUGCGAGACUAGAGUAAUGGAGGGGGAACCGGAAUUCUCGGUGUAGCAGUGAAAUGCGUAGAUAUCGGGAGGAACACUCGUGGCGAAGGCGGGUUCCUGGACAUUAACUGACGCUGAGGCACGAAAGCCAGGGGAGCGAAAAGGAUUAGAUACCCCAGUAGUC
rnacentral:rRNA from 1 species